UAUAAACAGGAACAGAGACGGACCCCUUUGUCCACUAGGAGCUGCUGGGAGCAGCCACCCAGGAGGAGAUCUCUGAAAGGCUUCAGUCGUCGGGUGACAAAAAGCAGGAGGAGAGAAGGGCUCGCACCCUCAGGGAAAGCAGGCAUGGCAUGUUGUCAAGAGCUGGGAUUCUCUUACCUCUUGUUUCAGUUCUUUACAAUGUCGGCUCAGACGCCAGGAAGCCAGCAGGAAAUGUUGCGUGGAGAGGUAAGGAGUUGCUGGUGGCCCGUGGCUGUAGCUGGGAGAGCUGCGCAUGAAGUGGGGGUUCCCUAGCUGCUAUUUGCUAUUUCCCUAGCGAUAUUCGCAGGGGACUAGCGAGACAUCCCAGGCCCCCUGAGAAAAUGUCACCUUGGGCCCCCUGCUCUGGUUGACACUUUCAGUCGCUCAGUUGAUUUUGCCGAGCGACCAUGGGGCCCCUACAAAGUGAGGGGCCCCCCCUGAAUUUGUCACGGUAUUCGUACCCCUCUGGUGCCCCUGGAUGGAUGGUUCCAAAGAGCAUGGAAUGACCGCGAUUUGGGAAAAUCGAGACCAGAAACACACCAUGUGCGCCAUGUACUGGUUACAUGCCCUGGUCUCCAGAAAUUCUCCAGAAUGAAAACAAACACUUACAAUAACCGGGGGUUGAGCCUUAUGGGGCACCAGUGAGUCACUGUAAAGUACUCUGUCAUCGGAAGGAAGCAUGUUCCUGCAGGAGGCCCGGAGACCCAGAUAAACCCCACCCCCCCACCUUAACAGGAGGUCACAGAUGGAGUCUGGUAGAGUCCAUUCAAAUCCCCUGGGCAGCAGCUGUGUCAACGCAGGGGGCAGAAGAUGGCAGAAUGAGCUACGGAUCAUUUGGGGUACAGGGAAGAGGAAACAGGAGGAAGGGGGUGUUUCCUUCCCCCUGAAGUUAUCUGGAGCAUGUGGGGACAGUCCCUGGGGCAGGAAGGAGAGGACAGGCGACAGGCCCAGAGCCCUGCCAGAUAAAACGCACCUUUGGGACAGUGACGUCGUUGGGAGCAAAAGCUGCCAAGAACAUCAGCAGAAAUAAACUGAACAACGCUGGCUUUGCACUGCGGUGGUUGCAGAGUACAAAUGCUGCACGAAACCAGUACAUCCAGUAAGGAAAAGGAUUCUCACCACCAGCCCUAAAAGAGGCCAAAUCGUGAUCAGCAAAGCCUGGUGCUUUCAGACAGCCUAAAUGUGGGAAGCAUGUUGAGAGUAUUUCAAAAUUUCUAUCUGGUGUGACUGGUGUUUUGGGGGGAAGUGUUGCAUAGGUUCUAGGUCAAGUCCUCUUAGGCCAGACUGAUCCUCACUUCCUUAUCAUGGUGUAAUAAGGGAAAACCAGCAGCAGGGGGCACAUGCAUCAUAUUUGACGUUGCCAGUUCCUGCCAGGUGGCAGCCGGUCUCACUGGGAACUGGUUAAACUUCUCUGUGAAAAGUGCGAGGGAUAUAGGCAAGCGAUGAAAUGUCAGGCUGUUGAGAGGGCAGCCUGCAAUGGGGCUUCCGGUUCUUAAUGACAAAAUACACAUGUGAUAAAGGAGAAGUCCUUUCCAACUUCCGGAAGUCGUUUUGUGGCUCUUUGUACAGUGAUGUACAUUCCGCUGCUCAAUACUUCCCCUCUUAGCUCAGAUAUUGUUACUGACCAAACGAUUAAUUUCCAAAAACUAAAUAAACUUUAUGAGAUUCAUUGCUGACUUCAAUGCCGAAUGUGUAUUUUGUAUUUUUGGAUUCAGUGGACGACAGA